AUUUCAGAGCUGGGAGGAAACUUAAAAGUUGCUCAGUCUAGUUCUUUGAGGUUGGUGCCAAGAAAGCUGAUCAGACUUGCCCAAAAUUGAACAGUCUUAAAUCUGAGCUGAGGCAGGCAUCUGACUGUCUUAAAUUGGAGUUAAAUGUAUUAGCAUCAUGGUAUUAACAUCAUCAUAUUCCACAUCUCAAAUCUUAUUUAAUUUUCAUUACAAUAGUGAAGUAAGUGAUUAGUAUUAUCCCCAUUUCCUUCACUGGGAGGCACAUUGUUUUAGUAUCAAAAGCAGCUACCUUGGGAGAAUCUGGGGCUAGAAACCUGACCUCAUUUCAAGUUUUACUCUGUUGCACCAAAACCUUGGGUGAGUUACUCAGUUUCUCAGCUUCAGUCCCCUCAUCAGGAAAAUGCUGUCUUAGCACUUUCUAUGAAGGAUGAUCAAAGGAGUGGAGAUUAUUAUAGAGAUUAUAAACACACUUGACACAGAGUGAGUAUUUAAGAACUGGCACCUGGUUUUUACAAAGUUAUUGGUCAUAGAAGGCAGGUUAGAGGAAAGGGCAGGCUUUGGAGUGGCUCAGAGUUGUAUUAUAACCUUGGCUUCUUUGCUUACCUAGGACAUAUACUCUAGCUGUAGCUUCCUCCCCUCUGAGAUGGAAAUUACAAGCCAUCUCGCAAUGUUGUGAGGAUUGGAGCUCAAGGGUGUAAAAAUGCCUCCUCUGUGGGCUCUCCUUGGAGACGUCUUGUAUCCUUUUGAUUGUCAUCAAAGGAAAGAAGUGGCAGGAUGAUGGUGUAAGAAGGAAGAACUUUGAGUUUAAUAGUCUGAAAAAGUGGUUACAGGUUCUUGCUGUGCUUUUUCUCUCUGCGGUUUUCUGAACCCAUCGCCUAACCUGAAGCCUUAAACUUCAUCUGCAAAAACGUUUUGUGGCAGGUGCCUCUGAAGCAGAACUCUUGAGAUGGAAGGAUGGUCAUCUGAGGAAAAAAAAUCGAGAUUAAGAGAGGAGGGACUAGAAUGAGAUUCACUUACCCUCGCUCCUCCAAGGGAAGGAGAGAAUGGUGAUGCCUGCCCAAUCCUUCCUGGGCGGAACCUUUGUAGCAUGGAACAUUGGAGAAUUUGCAGUCUGCUGACUUUCUGAUUUAGGAGGUUGAUGGGGAGGCCUUAUAAUUUGCAUUUCUAACAAGUUCUGAGGUGAUGCUUCAAAUAUGUCCAGGCAGAAGGGCCGCCACACAGAGAUUUCUGCCAUACCACAUGAGAAUUGAAGCCACAGACAUCUCCAACCCUCAAGCCUGAAACCAAAAGAGUGAAAACCAAACACUACGGUGGACAAAGAACAUCUCAGAACUUCUGUGGGGACCAGUGACACAAGGACCUAAGGUCUCUCUCUUCUCAUCUUGGCACUUCAGUCGUCUCCCCAAUCUUGACAAAGCCCUGGAGAAAGGGGCGGGCCUCCCGUUGAUAAGAUUGUCACUGCAGAUAAAUGGAGGUUUCAAACUGAAAGAAAGGAGGAGGCCCACUGCAGAUAAAUGGAGGUUUCAACUUGAAAGAAAGGAGGAGGGCCUCCCGUUUGAUAAGAUUAUUGUCACUGCAGGUAAAUGGAGGCUUCAAAUAGAAAUAGGUUUCAGUUACAGAAAAAAAAAAUUAUCUUUGUUACACAUUUGAGUUUGCAGGCCUAAGGUUACUCCCGCUACAUUGUCAUCUGUAACCAUAAGGCACUCAACAUUUUAAGCUAACUAUAAGGAUUUUUGCUUCACUCAAAGACCCUGAGAUUUUAUUCACAUUUUUAUUUGGUGACUAUAGUUGACAAGAACAAAGCUGUGGGGAAUCAACAAACACUGCCAUGCCUGGCAUUGUCACCUCACUAGAUUGUGCAUUCCUCUGGGACAGGGUCCGUACAUUGCCUUCGAAUCCCUCACUUAGUCAUUAGCCUGCACAGUGCUUGUACUUAGUAGGUGCUCAAUAAAUAUUUGUGGAAUGAAUGCAUGAUGAACAAAAUAUA